rnacentral:rRNA from 1 species
GGGCGUAAAGAGCUCGUAGCGGUCAACAAGUCGGGUGUUAAACCCCCAGGCUCAACCUGGGGCCGCCACCCGAAACUGUUGUGACUAGAGUUUGGUAGGGGAUCACGGAAUUCCUGGUGUAGCGGUGGAAUGCGCAGAUAUCAGGAGGAACACCAGCAGCGAAGGCGGUGAUCUGGGCCAAUACUGACGCUGAGGAGCGAAAGCGUGGGGAGCGAACAGGAUUAGAUACCCUGGUAGUCCACGCCGUAAACGGUGGGCACUAGGUGUGGGGACUUUUCAACGGUCUCCGCGCCGCAGCUAACGCAUUAAGUGCCCCGCCUGGGGAGUACGGUCGCAAGACUAAAACUCAAAGAAAUUGACGGGGGCCCGCACAAGCAGCGGAGCAUGUGGCUUAAUUCGAUGCAACGCGAAAAACCUUACCUAGAUUUGACAUGCUGGGAAAAGCCACAGAGAUGUGGUGUCCUUCGGGGCUCAGCACAGGUGGUGCAUGGCUGUCGUCAGCUCGUGUCGUGAGAUGUUGGGUUAAGUCCCGCAACGAGCGCAACCCUUGUUCUAUGUUGCCAGCACGUAAUGGUGGGGACUCGUAGAAGACUGCCGGGGUCAACUCGGAGGAAGGUGGGGACGACGUCAAGUCAUCAUGCCCCUUACGUCUAGGGCUGCACACAUGCUACAAUGGGCGGUACAGAGGGCUGCUAAACCGCGAGGUGGAGCCAAUCCCUAAAACCGCUCUCAGUUCGGAUUGCAGGCUGCAACUCGCCUGCAUGAAGUUGGAGUUGCUAGUAAUCCCGGAUCAG